UCUGUACACUAAUAUACCCUAAACAAAAUAAGGGAGUUCAGGGGGCAAAAGAAUGACUUUGAUGAACUCGUAAUUGAGCAACUGUGAUCACCUCCCGAGAAAAAAAGAUGAUCUCCUCUUUUAAAGUAACUCAACCUAAGAGCUUAAUCCGGGGGAAUCCUCCAACACAACUAGUUUCAAUCUGAGCUAUCAUCUGAGCCAAUCUGACUGCAAAUUCCAUAUAUGAGCAGGAGCAUGAGGAUCCAGAGGACCGGAGGCAUCUUGAGCAUAAACACAAGAGAUUGUGCCCAGCUGUAUUUUCAACCAGCACAUAGCUGCUGAUAAAGACUGUUAUCCAUUUCAGGAUCUCCAUCAUAAUCAGGAGUAGCAACAAUUAACUAUUUAAAAAGUUGUAUUAAAUGAACAAUCCUUUUUUCUGACAGAAAAUU
rnacentral:lncRNA from 1 species